CCCACUCCCCAACCCCUGCACCCCCACCAUUUUCUCUCCUCCAUUCAUAAAUUCAACUAUUCAAAGUUAGCUUACGUGCUGUAGGUACUGUGCUAGAUGCUGGGGAAAAUCUGGAAAUGAAGUCCCUGCCUUAAACAGCUGCCAGUCAUACUCACUGGCACAGUCACAGGCAUCCCUGUGAGCAGACUGGUGCUAACACCAGGGCCUUCCUACCAUCCUUACGUCAGAGUUACCCAAUGGCACAGAGGAUCUUGGUUUUAGUAGCAGGUGGGCAUUGCAACCCAGGAAAGUGAGCAAUACAUUGAAACCAACUCUUCAAGAGGAGGCUUGUGGCACCACCAUGAAGGAAUUGAAAUAAUUCAGGCAAGAGUCACUCUGAUGGGACCAAGGGUACAAACUUUCAUUGCUUGUGUUCUAGAGUCCAGGACCCUGGGCCUCAAAUUCUCACCUUGCAUGUGAGGACUGUGAUGGAUUAGCCUAUCUUAUCUGCCUGUUUCUUCACAAUAAAUGGGAUAAGAUAAGAUUACAUUGAAGAGUUAAGGAAGUAGUUCAAUAGGUCACUUCAUGUAAAAAUACUCAUCGAAUGCCUUGUGCAUUGCUUAGUAAAUGCUAUAUUCUAUUAUGAUUGGUAUCAUCAGUGUGGAGCCUCUGAACUGGGCAAUUCUAAGGGAAGCCCCUCACACUGUACCUCAUAGGAAAAGCUCUCCCUGGGAUUGUGCAGUUCACAAUCCUUGCAGCUGUAGGAAAUAUCCCCGAUAAUCAUCUCAGGGCGAGCAUGUGAAAGUUCUGCUUCACACAGAUUCCCUAGUUGUUUCUUAACAGGAGAACGGUGUCAUUUGCUCAUGGGCCUAGUAGAAAAUGCACCUUGAUAACUAACUAGCUAGCUAGCUAACUAACUAACUAACUAACUAACUCACCAACAAACUCAACAACUAACUAACUAACUAACUAACUAACUAACUAACUAACUAACUAACACUUAAGGUGUCACCAACCUUAAAUGAUGUGUCUCUAGAACAUAAGCCUGUUCGGGGAUGAGAUCAGGUGAAAUGGCAGCUGAGAGGAUGUGAGGGGAGACCAGAGGCAGACAGGAAGAGAGAAGGUGAUGCAGGGGAGGGUGGGAGGUGCUGCAUUGUGCAGUCAGCACCACUUACUGUUUGAUGAGAACAUCUUUGGUAAUAUCAUCCCACUGCAGGGGAGUGUGACUGAGACAUAGCUUUCUGCUGUGGCUACUUAAGAUGGCUGCCUUGUGGUUUUCAACCUCCCCUCUAAGCCUUGGUGCUCUAGUAGGCUCACACUGUGCCGUGCACAAGGGUUUGAUGGGGCCUAUUUCUCCUCUGCUACCUUGAACUUUACUCUCCCUCACCAAUGUGGUUCCUCUUCAAACUCUCCUCCUUGGGAAAAAGCACAUUAGCAGUAGGGUAAAGCUAGAACCUGUUUCUGUUUUUGUUUUUGUUUAAUCAUUUACAGAGUCCAUUCUCUCCAUGACUACGGUUAAACUCUGCUGAAUUUACUACAGACAAGCCCCAUCAGGCCAUCUCCUCCUCACGUCAUUGUCUUCUUCUUCCUCUUCUUCCUCCUCCUUUGAGACAGAGUCUCAUUUGUACCCUUGGCUGGCCUGGAACUUAUACAGAUCUACUGCUCCUUCUUUCUGAGUGCUGGGACUAAAGACGUGUCAUCAAGCUUAAGUCUUUUUACAUGGAGCUUGAUAGCAAUAUUUAAGGAAGGAUUUCAAAAGACCCACCUGCAUAGCUCAUGCAAAGACAGAAGCUUCGGGCCACAUUUCUUGUGUGGUUUUCUACAUUAUGGGAUUCAGAAGGAAUUGGGAAUGGAGCUUAGAUGCUCAUGAUUGGCUCUUGAUCUCUCAAACGCUGGCUACAGCAUAAGCAGUUAGCUUUGCCUCAUCUAUGAGUACAUUCUCACUUCUUGAUCUUUGGGACAGAGACAGAGUUGAGUAGGGUGUGAAGAGUGAGUUGGAGAAAAUCGACAGGGGUAAGUCUGAAGUAGGAAUCCCAAAGACAGUUGCAAGUCUCAGUGAGUCAGGGAGAUGAGGUAACCUCUUCUUUAUCUGACACAGCCAGUCCUGAGACUGCAACGGAUGACCGAUUAGUAUCCUUUCCAACUUUCUCACAACAGCUACUACCAUUGCCAUCCUACAAAUGGCAAGCCCAGACUCGGAGAUAUAAGAAUUCUUGCUCCAAGUCAUGUGGCUGAGAUAGAGACCACGGUGGUAUUAUUCUAAGCAUACAAGUUCCUGAUACUAUAUCUGGCUCAAGUUCAAAUAAUCUUAAACCUAACUGUCUUACGUGUUGUUCCCGAUACUAUCUGACAGAAGCAAGAAAGGUCUAGAACGAAAACAAGCAACAUGACCAAGCAGAUGGAGAAGGAAGCGUCCCUAAAGAGAUGAACCACUGUGGUAAGGAAUGGAUCCAUCACCAGGAGCGGACAGAGAGAGGACAUGGUGAGGCUUGGCAGACACGCUCCGACUCUGGUCUGCUGUAUGAACUGCACUCACUCUCUCUGGCUGUUUUGUGUGUCCCGAUCUGACAGCCCACAUGCCUCUGCUGCACUCCUUGGCCACAGGACACAGAGCACUGAGAAGACACAGGAUCUCAGCUGGUGGGAAGGAAACUCAAGAUGAAGGCAGAGUGUUCUUCGUUUCUCCCCAAAGGCUUAAAGCUCUCUAGGGACGUAGUUCUAAACGUGAGGAUGGAUGUGGGUCACUGGUCCUGGUCUUGGAGGAUCCAGGCAUUUUUUAGUUUGAACUUGGGCUAAGGGUCAAGCUUCCUUAACUAUCAAGAAGUCUGCAAGCCACGCUGGUGUACACGUCUGAUGGAGAGGGAUUCAACGGUGAACGCGGAUGAGCUGUGACACUGAGGAGGAAAUGGACAUCCCUAUGAUGAUGGAGUUCCUGAUGGACUUGGCAAGUUCAUCACAAAAAACUCAGAAGAAAGAAGAGGGGACUAGCGGAGGUAGAGAAUAACAAGGAUUGGGAGACCAAGAGGAUGUCAUGUGCUGGAGCCAAUUAGCAAAAGAGUGCGAAUCUUCUAAGUGGUUCUGGCAGUCAGAUGGCUAACAUCAUACUGAGGUAGGUGAAUAGAGUUCUAUUUAGACACUGUAUUUAUUACUUCUCAAAGUCUUUCUCUUCUGAUUCUAUGGAAUUUGCAGAUAAUACCUAAAUUGUUACAUUUAAAAGAAGUGGUUUUUCUUGAUUCUCCUUUCAUUUUGCCUUUAACAAAAUAAAGUUAAAUGCCACCCAGAAGUAUGCCAUCAGGGAGGAUGCAAGGCCAUUUGCCAGGCUGUAUUGCCAAUACAGGGACAAAUGAAACGAAUAGGGCACCAGUGUCACAACAUUGGGGAAAACAAAAGAACAACUGCCUACAGCUUUUGUUCCACAGACUCAGGGGUCAUAGUUUCAAACACUAAUGAAUGGUAAGCCUAGAGAACCAUGCAGAAGAUGGAAAAAGACGGUAGAUGUGGCUCCAGUUAACAUACAUUUAUUCUCUUCUCUGUAUACUAUAGCUAGUCAGAACAUAUUUAUGAAAUGAACACACAUUAAGUUGUAGAAUAGAACCAUAAACUACGUACUAUAUUGAUAAAGAAAGAGCCCCUCAGAAUCUCUCAGUUCUAGUGCAGAACUAAUCUGAUAUAAGCGAAGAUCAAAAAAAGGCUACCCAAAGAUAAAGGUUGACCAUAAAUACUAACCACUAGAUUAGGCAUCUCUUACUUAAUUGUUAAUUCGAACAGGAUACUGGGCUAAAAUGCAUUAGCUUCCCUCCUUUAAUCACAAAGAAACAUGUGGAUCAGGUAUUCUUAGGGGUCCUUUAUAUAAAGGAAGUAGCCGAGGGCCUAAGAGUGACAUCACUUACCCAGGGUCACAAAACCGGGAAGCAGCAGAGUUAGGAUUUAAGUACAUCUCCAUGAGCAGCAUGUUAGUCCUUAGAUUAGAUAAGGAGCUGGGUAAGCAGGGUAAUGUUCAUGUCUACCUCCCUAUGGGAAUACCUAGAAGCAAGGGCCACAGAGAAAUGCCUUGUAAGACUCUUCCAGAGUCCUCUGAUCAUUCAGCUUCCUAAAAGGAAGAGUGGCUAGGCAGUGCUAAUAGUUCUGAUAUCAACACUUUUUUACAGUGGCCUGCCCCUUAGCUAAAAACACGCCCUGCUUCUCUCUUUGUCAUUUUUGAAGUAUAUUAACUAACCCUUUGUUAACUGCCUAAUAUCCUGCAGUGAAUUAUCAAUUCUGUUGAUUGAUGAAUGGAUCUUAGUACAGUUAUGGAUGGAAGGGUGCAGGCUCUAAGUUAUGGGCUGUCAAUUCACAGAAGGUCAAUUUCUCAAAUAUUUGAAUUGUGAGCCAUCACAAAGAUUAUCCACCUACUAAUUUCAGGCUCAAGGAUUGAGAAGACAUUAGAUGACACACAUAGGUCAGGCAGAAAGAAAGCCACACAUAGCGUUUUGAUCAACAGAAGAGGAAAUCAUUUGGUGCCAGUCCCACCGGAGGUUUUAAUGGUUCUGCAUGCUGCCCAGAACCAUGGCUAACCAGGCACCCACUCUUGGCUUUACCAAUUGGGCGUGUCAUCUACAGCUAGCAUAAAGAGCAGAAAAGAGUGAAUUCAAGCAGAUACUAUGCCCUUCGGACUUUUAAGGACUUCUAGUAAGAGUGAUCCCAUGAAGCCAGUAAAGAAGAAAGUCCAAGAGUUGGCUGUUCACCGGAGGUUAAAAAAAGAACAGCUUUUUGCAAGGGGUCCACCUUGCUCCAACGUGCAACCAAGGGUUUGAAUCACAACUGCUAUCAUAACACUGUGCUGCUUGGGAACACAACUUCUCUUGCCUUGGGUUUGUUCUCUGUUAAGACGAGUCAAUCUGAGCAAUGCAGUUUUGUGGCAACUAAAGGAGAUAAUGCAUACAAAACUUCAUAUUUUGAACAGAUGACAUAAAAAUAACAUGGAUUUUCUAUUACCACAAUGGUUUUUCUAUCCAUUUCUAGCAUGUCUCCAAAUAUGCCACCAAAGAGGUAGCAUUUUUAAAGAAAAUACUUGUCAGCUUAUAUACCCUAAGCCGAACACUCUGUGAGAUGCUGACUUGUGAAGAUGGGACUUUAGCAAAGUUCCAGUUGGGUGACAGUGUAUAUCAGUGAAGUGCUUUCUUUUCUAAAGAGUGCGGAAAAAUCUGCAGAGCAGAUACGCGUGCUGAAGACACCUUUGCUAACACUCUUUGCUCUUCUCUAGACUAUUCCCUAUUUAAUAUGGACUCUAUUCACCAAAGUAAGGAAAAAUUGGCACCAUACUUGAGUGCCAUGCAUCUUUUCUGCUCACCACUCUUGCUUAUCCUUCUCACUUCCAUCAACACAGCUGUUCUUCCCUGGACUUGGGAUAUGGCUACUUCAAGUAUCCUAGGAACAGAGUUAGCACCAGAAACAACUAUCACUAAAUACAUAUUCCCCCCUUCUGUGCUCUGCUCAUGUGUAAGUAGUUACUUCUCUUGGUCAAGAGCCAAACUACAGAACAGGAAAAGGGAGAAUUUCAAUAGGAAAUAAGGGCUGUGAUUUCAGGGUGUAAAGCCAGUGUUAAUGGCCUUGCUUGAUGACUAUUUCUGUCCAGGACCACCCUGGCACUUAUUAGUAUGAAAAGGACCCCAGAAAGCAUGAGGUUGCCAGGCAACAGCACAGAAGAAAGGUGAUAUGGUGGUCACAAUCAUCCCAGCUGGAUGGGGCAUGAGGCCAUCAUUCGGUUCUUGGCCUCAUCCCACCCCGUUGCUCUGGGCAUGCUAAAUGCUAAAAGAUCUAAGAAAAGAAACUAUGAUUCAUAUGUCAUCUAUUGGGCUAUCCUUCAAAACAUCUGUCAGUAUUGAAGUCAAGUGCUAGUGCCUUUAACCCAACAAGCCCCCCAAGAAUGAGGAGGCACAGGGCUCUCUAGCUUCCCCUCUUUCACCUUCACUCACAGUGUAAAUAGUUCAUCCUAGAGGGAGUAAUGUAUUUUAGCACUAAUAACACCAGUCCAUGAACUCAGACAAUCUGUGAAAACCCAAACCGCUGUACAUUUGAUUCUGCAAAAAUGUGAUUGUUAGAAUUUUUCUCCUCAUCAAGAGAGACAAAAACCAGGAAAAUCUGCAAAUUUGGUAUCUGGUGAAUUUCAUGCUGGCUAAAUAAUGCUUGGGCAGUCUGAGGCAUAUCCUAUCACCAGAUCUGAUUCUUCUUAAUGUACCUUGUGACUGCCCUAGGCCACUGCCCAGUUCUGUAGCUCUUCUAUCCUUCUAGAGGUUACCCAUUAGGCUAUCCAUAAACCGUUGGUGUUUUUCAGGAAGGGAAUGAGGAUGGUGUAAGGACCCACUCUGCCUGCAAUAAAAGUGUUUAUGAAAGCAGCUGGAAGAAGUAGUGGGUGAGAUACAGACUCAAAAACCUUAAUCUCCUUGUUCCAAAGGUUACCAUGGAGACUACAUGGGUGUUGGAGCCCCCCAAAGCUGGAGUUACAGGAAGUUGUGAGCUGCUUGACUUGGGUGCUCAGAAAUCAAACUUGGGGCCUCUAAAAAGCAGCAAGUGCUCUUAACCACAGAGACAUCUUCUCAUCUCCUUUGAUAUUUUUGUAAUUGCAUUUGUACAAUUAUUAAGUAUGAACUAUGCAGUUAUCAAUGCCAAGAUACAGUGUCAAACUGUAGGCAUCUGAGAGUCUAGAGCGUCGGUCAUGUUUAUGAGUUUAUUGAAAGAGAAGAAACAAGAUUCAUUUUUUCUUUUGGAUCCAAGAUGUAUGUCAUCUACAAUGUUCUCUGCGCAUAUGAUCUCAGACCUUUCCAUUCUGAGUAUAUUUGUCAUAUUUGUGGCAUGGGAUUGGACUGGUAGGUAGAGAUAUAAUUUGUCGGCUGCUAAAGCAGUAAUGAUUUGCAAAGAGAAAAAACAAUGUUGGUUUGGAGGAGUGGAACUCAGAAACCCUCAGAAAUUCCUGUUCAGGAGAGCCAAAUCAACACAUCUGGAAGAGCUGGCUCCAUGAAUAGUUUCUUCCAAUGGGUUAAAAAAUAGCAGAGAAACAACCAAUGUCCCAAGGUCAUAAAUCAGUGAGAACUAUGCAAAACAACCCCUCUUUUCCCAGAGAAGAGAAAGAGAAUAACUGUAUAACUUCAAAGACUUUAUUGACCUAAAAGUAAAGAUUUGGUAUCAAAUAUAUUUUUGGAAAUGCUGAGCAUCACUGACCCAAUGCUCAUAAAAAUAUGAAAAGCCAAAUUCUGCAAGGAGAAAUCAAUAAGCUUAAAGGGCAUCUUACUUUGUCAUCCUCACCCAGAUCAUCAUUUGGUGAUGUCUGAAGACAUUUUCCAUUAUCACGAUAUAAGGGUAUGCUAUAGGCACCAGGUAGGUAGGGGCCAAGGAAGCUAAGAAGCACUCUACAAUGUCCAGGAUGAUGCUACACAGAAUGGAGUUCUGGGGUCGCAAGUGUCAUGUUUCAGAAAGUCUGAUUCAUACUUAUUUACAGUAUAGAGAUUGUACUGCUGUCUUAGUUCCUAAUCAGAAUUGUGCUCCCCAUUUCCCAGACAAAUGCUCAACAGAAUGAAUUAUACUUUUGAACAAGUUUCCCAAACUACAACCAACAUAUUCAAACAUGACACACAGACCCACCAGUUGCUAGGGGGUGUUGGACUCGUACCCAGGGGCAGAGUUUUACUAUUGAUGAAACAUCUGAUGAAUAAGAAUCAAAUAGGAACUAUAUCCAAUGUCCUGAAAUGCUGAGGAAUAUUCCUAUCUACACCAUCACUAUUUUGUUUAUGAAGGCCAUCACUCAAGCCAGAAUUUCCAUGUGAAAUUCAGCUCACCAUACUGGGCCACGUUAGUACAUUUACACUACCCCACCUCCACCCAGUGCACCCCACCUCUGGGAUAAGUGACACUCCUUGUUGGUUUGCGAAUUCACAUUCUGGCUAGACAAUCUACUUUCUGGAGCCUUCUGCUCCCGGCUUAUCUUUGCCGACCUUGUUGGGAGUUGACAGAUAUGGAAGGUAUCCUAGGAUCUCAGAAUUGUAUUUAACAACAACGUCACACCCUCUCAACGGGAAUGACUCCAUUUUAACCAGACCUUCUAACUUUAGCAUCUUUUGAGACACUGGGUGAGGUAAAAUUCUCAGGUUGGGCUACCCUGUCUUUGAUGCAUCCUCUUUCCUCCUUUCAACUGUCUGAUGCCUGGAGAACCUCCACUCCCACCUCCACUCACGGAAGUCACUACCAGAAGUGUCUCCAGACUGAUUAAAGGUUCAUUAAGGGAUAAAAUUGCCCACAAGUGAGAAUCACCAAUUCAUCCUUAGGCUCCAGGAAAGUCCUUCAAGUUUCGGAAGUGACUUGAUUUGAAUGCAUGUUGAGGGGGCAGGGCACAUAAUCUUCCUGAUGGGGGGAAGUUGUGGACUCAUGCGGAUUUCAUUUCUGCAAAGUUAGGGUUUGGGCUGAUAAGUUGGGGAGCCUUGCUCUAUAGAGAGUGUGUCAUGUGGGUCGUGAAAUCCCUUACACCACAUUUCACAGGAUUUCAAUUACAGCCAACAAGCUCUAGGGGACAGAGCUCCUCCCUGACACCAGCAGGUCACUGGCCACCUAAGGGGUUCUUAGAUAGGUCAGAGCUGAUUCAAAGGAAGAAGGGAACAUGGCUUCAUCAGUGUCCUGCAUGCAGAACUGCAGAAACAGGUAAGCUGGCUGGGUGAGGGGGUUUGACUAAGUUCAAAGAAAACAAACAGCACACGGUUUUGGAAAAAGUCUCUGGCUUUCCAAGUUUAGACUUUGGGCAGGGGCAGGUUAAAGGCAGGGUGUUGCUAUUUAUUAGAAUUUGAGAGCAGGGACUGUAUUGAAAGAAAGCUGGGAUUUCCUUGGGGAAGGGAGGCAUAAAAGGCACAAUUUUCAGAUACCCAGAAGCUUUUUAUUUCAAUUACACGGGCCGGGGGGAACCAUGCAGGAAGAGAGAGACCAGGAAAGAGAAAACUAAGAAGGUGAGCAGAUUCUAUCCCGGGUGGUAGGGAGGGAGUAACAUCCCUUAUUUCUGUCAUUACAGGGCCAAAGUGGGAUUACAAACAGCUCCCUAAAGCUUAUCCAAAAUUUCAAAGGCUUGAAAUAAACCCAGAUCUACUCUUUUCUUCCCUGUGAAGGAACAUGCAGUCUGAACAUAUUUACUUAAAUAAGUGUUUAAGAAUAACAUGUUUUGUAAAAUUGCAAAUAUACAUAAAAAUUAUAAUCCUUAUUACGUUCUCUCUAGAGUGCUCGAACCAACAAUAUUAACACACGCACACACACACACACAAAACACACACACACACAAAACACACACACACACACACACACACACACACACACACACACAUCCAUCUCUUCAUUUACAACCUUCCAACUAUGUGUUAGCUUCUCCUUGCCUGGAGACAGGCCAGCAUUAUUUCCUCUUUUCCUGAUCAAUGAAGAUAUCAGGUCACUUCUGAAUGACUGGGAGUCUUGACUUUUUUUAUUUGACUUAUUUAUUUAGGUCUGAGAUGCUUGGAAGUGGCUGGGGGCUUGGGGAGGAUUACUUUAGUCUUGUUCUAAAGCUUAGGUGCUCUGAGAAGGAGUAUAAGACUGGUAAGUACUUCUUGAUCACAGCCCACCUUCAGAAAGAGAAUUGGUAGCUUCGUGGAAUGCUUUUGCAUGUAUUUCAACUGUGUGUGUGUGUGUGUGUGUGUGUGUGUGUGUGUGUGUGUUGGGGGGAUUGUUUUCAGUUUGAGGCAUGACUGUGAAUGGACCCAUCCAGGUUUUCUUAACUCUGCAAAGGAUGAUGAGGUUUGC
rnacentral:sRNA from 1 species